GGUUAAGCGACUAAGCGUACACGGUGGAUGCCCUGGCAGUCAGAGGCGAUGAAGGACGUGCUAAUCUGCGAUAAGCGUCGGUAAGGUGAUAUGAACCGUUAUAACCGGCGAUUUCCGAAUGGGGAAACCCAGUGUGUUUCGACACACUAUCAUUAACUGAAUCCAUAGGUUAAUGAGGCGAACCGGGGGAACUGAAACAUCUAAGUACCCCGAGGAAAAGAAAUCAACCGAGAUUCCCCCAGUAGCGGCGAGCGAACGGGGAGCAGCCCAGAGCCUGAAUCAGUGUGUGUGUUAGUGGAAGCGUCUGGAAAGGCGCGCGAUACAGGGUGACAGCCCCGUACACAAAAAUGCACAUGCUGUGAGCUCGAUGAGUAGGGCGGGACACGUGGUAUCCUGUCUGAAUAUGGGGGGACCAUCCUCCAAGGCUAAAUACUCCUGACUGACCGAUAGUGAACCAGUACCGUGAGGGAAAGGCGAAAAGAACCCCGGCGAGGGGAGUGAAAAAGAACCUGAAACCGUGUACGUACAAGCAGUGGGAGCACGCUUAGGCGUGUGACUGCGUACCUUUUGUAUAAUGGGUCAGCGACUUAUAUUCUGUAGCAAGGUUAACCGAAUAGGGGAGCCGAAGGGAAACCGAGUCUUAACUGGGCGUUAAGUUGCAGGGUAUAGACCCGAAACCCGGUGAUCUAGCCAUGGGCAGGUUGAAGGUUGGGUAACACUAACUGGAGGACCGAACCGACUAAUGUUGAAAAAUUAGCGGAUGACUUGUGGCUGGGGGUGAAAGGCCAAUCAAACCGGGAGAUAGCUGGUUCUCCCCGAAAGCUAUUUAGGUAGCGCCUCGUGAAUUCAUCUCCGGGGGUAGAGCACUGUUUCGGCAAGGGGGUCAUCCCGACUUACCAACCCGAUGCAAACUGCGAAUACCGGAGAAUGUUAUCACGGGAGACACACGGCGGGUGCUAACGUCCGUCGUGAAGAGGGAAACAACCCAGACCGCCAGCUAAGGUCCCAAAGUCAUGGUUAAGUGGGAAACGAUGUGGGAAGGCCCAGACAGCCAGGAUGUUGGCUUAGAAGCAGCCAUCAUUUAAAGAAAGCGUAAUAGCUCACUGGUCGAGUCGGCCUGCGCGGAAGAUGUAACGGGGCUAAACCAUGCACCGAAGCUGCGGCAGCGACGCUGAUGCGUUGUUGGGUAGGGGAGCGUUCUGUAAGCCUGUGAAGGUGUGCUGUGAGGCAUGCUGGAGGUAUCAGAAGUGCGAAUGCUGACAUAAGUAACGAUAAAGCGGGUGAAAAGCCCGCUCGCCGGAAGACCAAGGGUUCCUGUCCAACGUUAAUCGGGGCAGGGUGAGUCGACCCCUAAGGCGAGGCCGAAAGGCGUAGUCGAUGGGAAACAGGUUAAUAUUCCUGUACUUGGUGUUACUGCGAAGGGGGGACGGAGAAGGCUAUGUUGGCCGGGCGACGGUUGUCCCGGUUUAAGCGUGUAGGCUGGUUUUCCAGGCAAAUCCGGAAAAUCAAGGCUGAGGCGUGAUGACGAGGCACUACGGUGCUGAAGCAACAAAUGCCCUGCUUCCAGGAAAAGCCUCUAAGCAUCAGGUAACAUCAAAUCGUACCCCAAACCGACACAGGUGGUCAGGUAGAGAAUACCAAGGCGCUUGAGAGAACUCGGGUGAAGGAACUAGGCAAAAUGGUGCCGUAACUUCGGGAGAAGGCACGCUGAUAUGUAGGUGAAGCGACUUGCUCGUGGAGCUGAAAUCAGUCGAAGAUACCAGCUGGCUGCAACUGUUUAUUAAAAACACAGCACUGUGCAAACACGAAAGUGGACGUAUACGGUGUGACGCCUGCCCGGUGCCGGAAGGUUAAUUGAUGGGGUCAGCGCAAGCGAAGCUCUUGAUCGAAGCCCCGGUAAACGGCGGCCGUAACUAUAACGGUCCUAAGGUAGCGAAAUUCCUUGUCGGGUAAGUUCCGACCUGCACGAAUGGCGUAAUGAUGGCCAGGCUGUCUCCACCCGAGACUCAGUGAAAUUGAACUCGCUGUGAAGAUGCAGUGUACCCGCGGCAAGACGGAAAGACCCCGUGAACCUUUACUAUAGCUUGACACUGAACAUUGAGCCUUGAUGUGUAGGAUAGGUGGGAGGCUUUGAAGUGUGGACGCCAGUCUGCAUGGAGCCGACCUUGAAAUACCACCCUUUAAUGUUUGAUGUUCUAACGUUGACCCGUAAUCCGGGUUGCGGACAGUGUCUGGUGGGUAGUUUGACUGGGGCGGUCUCCUCCUAAAGAGUAACGGAGGAGCACGAAGGUUGGCUAAUCCUGGUCGGACAUCAGGAGGUUAGUGCAAUGGCAUAAGCCAGCUUGACUGCGAGCGUGACGGCGCGAGCAGGUGCGAAAGCAGGUCAUAGUGAUCCGGUGGUUCUGAAUGGAAGGGCCAUCGCUCAACGGAUAAAAGGUACUCCGGGGAUAACAGGCUGAUACCGCCCAAGAGUUCAUAUCGACGGCGGUGUUUGGCACCUCGAUGUCGGCUCAUCACAUCCUGGGGCUGAAGUAGGUCCCAAGGGUAUGGCUGUUCGCCAUUUAAAGUGGUACGCGAGCUGGGUUUAGAACGUCGUGAGACAGUUCGGUCCCUAUCUGCCGUGGGCGCUGGAGAACUGAGGGGGGCUGCUCCUAGUACGAGAGGACCGGAGUGGACGCAUCACUGGUGUUCGGGUUGUCAUGCCAAUGGCACUGCCCGGUAGCUAAAUGCGGAAGAGAUAAGUGCUGAAAGCAUCUAAGCACGAAACUUGCCCCGAGAUGAGUUCUCCCUGACUCCUUGAGAGUCCUGAAGGAACGUUGAAGACGACGACGUUGAUAGGCCGGGUGUGUAAGCGCAGCGAUGCGUUGAGCUAACCGGUACUAAUGAACCGUGAGGCUUAACCUUAC
rnacentral:rRNA from 1 species